AUGCUGACCCUGUGGCCCCUGAGCCUCAGUGGCACAGGGCUGCAAUUGGAGUGCCAGGGAAGGCCCCAAAACUUGGUAGCCCCAUCUGCUUGUGCUCUCUGGACCCCAGUGCCUGCCCACCAAGCCCUCCCUGUGCCCUUGGGCUCAGGGGCAGUUCAGCAUCCACGAAUCUGUACUCGUGUCCCAAAGUCACCACCCAGUGCCCCAUUCGGCCCAGCCUGUUGCAGGGGCUCACUAGCUGUGUGGCCCCCCACGCUGUCCCUGCACCCUGGCACUCCAGUGGCAGCACAGUUGCAGCCUACACGCCAGGCUGCACACCAGCACAGCUGUUUGAGGCAGACCCAUUUUUUUCCCCUUUCAACUCAGAGGUAAGUGUCACCCAUUCCAGUGCCUGUUUUUCUCAGGCAUGCACCCUCUUGCCCCUUUGCAUGACUGAGUGCUAGUGCAGGUUUCUUUUAAAUUGUGGUUAAAGAUGCACAAUUUAAAAUUGACCUUUCUGGGUGUGGGUACCAGGGAUUGAGCUCAGGGACACUUGACCACUGAGCCACAUCCCCAGCCCUAUUUUGUAUUUUUUUUUAAUAUUUUUUUUUUUAGAGAGUGAGAGAGAAUUUUUUUUAAUAUUUAUUUUAAAAUAUUGCAGACACAACAUCUUUGUUGGUAUGUGGUGCUGAGGAUCGAACCCUGGGCCGCACACAUGCCAGGCGAGCGCGCUACCGCUUGAGCCACAUCCCCAGCCCCCUAUUUUGUAUUUUAUUUAGAGACAGGGUCUCCCUGAGUUGCUUAGCGCCUCACCAUGGCUGAGGCUGACUUUGAAUUCACUAUCAUCCUGCCUCAGCUUCCCAAGCCAUGGGAUUACAUGUAUGCGCCAUCACACCCAGCUAAAAUUUACUGUUUUAACUUUUUCAAUGAUGGGGAUUGAACCCAGGGUUCCAUGCAUGCUUGGUGCAUGCUGUACCAUUGAGCUACAACCUGGCCCAUAUGAACCAUUUUAAAUGUGCAGUUUUGUAUUAAACACAUUCACACUGUGGCAGCCACCAACAACCAUCUCCAGAACCUUUUUCAUCUUCCCUGAGACUUUGUCUUUCUUACAAUAACUCCCUACUGUCCACUCCCCCUGUCCCUGGCAACCAUCAUUCUAUAUUCUCACUCUAUGAAUUUUACUACUCUAGGGGCCUCAUACAAGGGGAAUCACACGGUAUUUGUUUUUUUCACAACUGCUCUGUCACUUAGUAAAAUAUCCUCAAGUUGCAUCCAUGCUGUAGCACAUAUCAGAAUUUCCCUCCUUAAGACUCAAUAACAUUCCAUUACAUGUGUGUUUGUGUGUGAAUGUGUGUACUGUGUGUGUACAUUGUGCAG
rnacentral:lncRNA from 1 species